UCAUAUUUUUUCUAAUUUUUCUCAUCAUCAUAAUUUUUAUUUAUCUCUUGGCGAAAUUUAGCGAUCAAAUUUAUUCCUAUAUCAUAUUGUGAAAGAUUUCGCUUAACUGUUUUGCCAUUCACAACUUUCUUUUGACUUAAUUUCUUCAUUGAAGUCUGUCUGUCUCCCACAUUUGAAGGGUUUAUAAUAAGAUGCGACCCCCCAAAGUAUUCUUUGAUUGACUAAUAAAAUGCUACGUGAGUUGAUUUGAAAAGGUAAUUUUGCUUGGACUUGGUUAGCAGCUCUCAGGCCGAGCAAGGGAAGCGUAUGUGACGCACAUAUUUAAGCAACACUUGGACGCCCUGGGGUAUGCAACGCAACGGCAGAUGUCACUCGAGAAUUGCUCGGCCAGGAACGAUGAUGAUGAUGAUGAUGAGGAUGAUGAUGAGAAGAAGGAGAAUGAUGUUGGAUAAAGAGUAGAAGUUGGACAGAAGUCAAACCGAAAACGAAUGUGAAAUAAAGUUUGUAAAACGUU